AUGCCACCUUGGCUGCCAUUAGUUGGUUUGCUGGAAGCUAGAGUAGGGAAGGGUUGUACUACUGAUUUUGCUGCAAGUAUAAUUCCUUGGAACGAGCAAAAGAAAAUGAUGACUAUUGAAACUUCCACUUGCUUUGAGCAGAAAAUGCACCAGUUUUGGGCUUUGAUUUUCCAGGUCAGUUUGACAUCACUUGCUAGCAAGGAAAGCAAUCUAGUUAUUUCUGAUCCUGAAUCAUUAUCUGUUUGGUUAUCAUCUGUUGAUCUCUGGGGGAUGUUGCUCAACUACUACCCAACUAUAGUGGAGAAAUGGAAUAUGAGAAUAAUUUGCAUGGUGAUAUCAGAAUCUGAAUCAUGUUUGGAAUCAAAUUACAUUGGUUUGAAUGUUGAAAGAGAUUUCCUAUAUGUGAUUGCUGAAGAAAAAGGUUGCAAAAGGAUGAAAGGAAUGGAAGUAGACACUAAUUCAAUUCAUGAUGAGAAGUAUACUUUUGGGUUAGUUCCUACAGUGGUGUUGAUCAAGCGAGGUUGUCACUGUUUGCAACAUAUCAAAUUGUUGGGAAUCAAUGUUGGCAAGCAAUUCGUAACAGUGCCAUUGUCAUGCAUCACCCAGGAGUAUUUUACAUGGAGUAAGAAGUUAUUCAAGCUAAAGCUACUUGCUCUAUUCUUCUUCAAUGAUGGGGGCAUCGAAAGAUCAUUUGGACUUGGCGGAGCUGAAGCUCCCGGCGGCGGCGGCGACUUGGGCAGCCGGUGGGCACCCUCAUCGAUCUCUCUCCCCUACCUCUUCUCCGAUCUUCAGCCUUCCCCCCUCGGUUCUAGAAGUUUCCAGCACUUGUAUUCCAUAGCUUCUUCUUCUCUUGUCCCCACUUGUCCCCAAAACAGUUGUUGCUUCUAUGGUGGAUGCUUGUUGUUGAGUUGGAAGUAGUGGGUUCCUA
rnacentral:lncRNA from 1 species